CAGUAUCAGGAAUCCACUAUGGAAUUACUGGAGAUAUCCUAACCAGAAUAUUCUGGUAUUCGAUUCUAACAUAGAGCUAGUGAUGAUAAAUGAACAUCUCCAUCCAAAAAAGAGGUACUGAACAAGUAAUUAACCCUAACAUUAACACUGCAAAGGUGCAGCUAUUUUAUUGUGAAUUAUCACUGGAACAAUUCAUAGCAUUUUGAAAACGCAAGUUGGCAAAAAGAAACUGUUUUCUCAUUAACAUUCCACAAAUGAAAUACCAACUUCUUCUAUUUAAAAUCCCCCCUCAUUAGAAUAAAUGACAGCUUGUUGCUCUUUGUUGGCUUUAUUCUGGUCUUAUGGAAGUUUUGCCACUGAUUUGCAUGGAAGGAACAAGCGUGACGAACAAAUUCAUGCACUUUACUGUCGUCAUGCAAAUCAGUGACAAAACUCUCAAAUUCUUUAUUGUUCUCUGCAUCUUACUCAUCAUGUACUAUUAAGGUUUUCUAUCAUCUGGUAUGCAGUCUCUAUGAUUACACUGAAUUACGAAAGAUGGGUAGUAAAGGACAGAGAAUUACCCACAGCUAAAUCCAGUGAUGAAUCUCUUCUAGAAUCUUAUAUUCAUUUUGUUAAAUAAAAAAUUCCAUUACCAAGAACGUGUAUAUUUUAAAAUGCCACCAUUUUUAUCUACCCAAAGACAACAACAGAGCAGAUGGUUCGUGGCGGAGAACCUUCCACAUCUUUUAAGCAGGAAACACUACCACAUAUACAUUAAUGAAAAGAAAUGAAAGCAGACUAGAUGGGUUGCUAACGAACAGCUGGUUUAACUACAGCUACGAAUAUUUUUUCCCCUGGCGAUAUCAUUGAUGAUGUCACAAUGCUAGUGUAGGAAGACAUAAACAAAAGGCAGGCAUUUUUGCUGCAGUAGCACUGGGGGGGGUGGAGGGGGGACGACGACCAAAUGUUUGGCAGAUGGAAAGAACAAAAACUGGUGUACUAAAUAGAAGGAGGUCUUUAUCAGAGCCAUCCUGUGGAAUUUCUGCUCCAUCAUACUACGGUGGAAAUGCCUUUUCACCCCCAAGGAGUUAAAGAUCACCCAAGAGUUUCACAGUGGCAAGAACCCAUACUGACGUUAGAAACCAGACCUCCCUUGUCACUCCACAGCAGAAACAGAUUUGAACUACACUCAUCAUACUGGACUUGUCCUGUAACAGAGAAGACUUCUUUAGGAAAAUCUAAAACCACCUCUCCUUGAAGCACCAGUGGAAGAAUGAUGUGCAAAUACUUAGCAAUUAUUCCACCUGAAGUCCCACAUUGGUGCCAAGAGGUAACUCGUCUGCCAGAUCCUACAUCUGCUCUGAAAGAAGACCAGUUCAGAGGAACUGCUUUCCUAUUCUACAGGAGCUACAGCAAAAGGGAAUUGUUAAGCAAGGUUAAGCAAGUUUGGACAUCAAAUCACCUCCAUUGUUAUAAUGGAAUAACUGGCUAAAGCCUGCUUUAUUCUAGCCUGUAUGCAUUUAAACUUGAAUACUUUUAUACACAGAUUACAGGCAUUGAAAUAAAGAUCUUGCACGGAAUUUAAAAAAAAAAAACAAGAACACCAGCCAUUUAUCAAAAAGUAGACUAGAAUUUAAACUUCAGAUCAUUCCCACCUUAUACAACUAAAUUGCUUUGCUAUACAUUGAGCAUAAUAUGCUGUUCAGUAUCCUGUAUCUCAGUUGGAUGAUUUGGAUAUGAAUCAAAACAAUUACUGGGACAGCACUGUUCAAUUUCAUGAGACAAAAAGGAGCUCUUUGCACUCAAUGUCUUGUUUUUCCUAAACAGCCGAAUCCUGUAACUUAGAAUAAAAUGCAAGAGAGAGCACCCAUUUUGCCAAAUACACCAGUAAUGCAAGUUUCCACAUCAUGAGGAAAGAGGGCUUUGCUCAAACUUUUUUGCAGUCCAGUGACAAAAUAGAUCAGAAGCCCAGGAUUUAUGAAAUGCAUCCUAUAGACCACACACAUGCUCUGCUCCCGCUCUUAGAAGCAGCAUGGCUUGGAGGCCAUGGCUUGUAUUUUAUGAGCUACAGCAGCCAAAUACCUCAGAAUUGACUUCCACGUUUCGAAGUGGAUGAUGUAUAGAUUUUACUGAAGGAAUGAUCACAAAUCUUGCCCAUGCAAACUCCUCUAAUUUGAGCUCAGGAAGAGGUGUAACCACAAAUUUCCCAUGGAACUCUACCAUUUCAGUAGUUCUACAAAACUAAAAAUGCACAUCUUUGAGAGAAAAUGGUGAAAUAUUUAUUAAAGCUCUCCAUCUGAAGUUACCGUCAAUACCACUGGGGUAGGAUAACCUUAAAUAUAAAUUCCACAUCUUUCUUUCCAGACCAAAUAUAAUUUAAUCAAAUACACUUCCUCAUCCUGGCCUCCAAACAUAUUGCUUUCUGUAGAUAGAUCACAGCCAAAGCUGAACUGUCUUCAAGUAUUUCCACAUUAACUACUCAGUUCAAAAUACUGGGGCUUGGAGGAUUUCAGUAGCCUGUCAGAAAGAACAUACUUUGGAUUCCUGAAUUUCACAAACACGAAAAACUCACACAUUCCUAAAUGACAUUUCAAAGAGAAGUACAACCAUAUUUUGAAAUAAGAGUCUAGUCAGUGAAAUUUAGGAAAACAGACAAAAUCCAUUUGAAAGGUAAGGAGACAUUCUCAGCUCAAUAGAUGGAGGGAAAACAGUAACAAUAGCUCCUCAGAAGCUGUUCCGAUUUCUGGCACCUUUGUGAUCUCCCCUUCAAAUUCCAAACAGUGACGACUAGAGCAUUAAAAGUGAAGACUACCAGUGCCACUCUUCACUUCUACCCCUGGCACAUUUGCCAUGUAAUGUCAGUUUUAAGGGCAGUAUGUAAAAUUUCCUUAGUUUCUCACUCUUAAAUUUUCUCCUUGAUCAGGAGCAACUUCCUAAAUUAUGUGGUACAAAUCAGCCACAGAGUAGCAGUGAAUUCUCUUUAUGUACUCUACGAGGUAUACAACAGCCUACCAUUUCCUACUGAUUGUCUUGAAAGCAACCUCAUUUUUAACGAUAGUGUUUCUACAUCUUACAAUACCUGGAUCUUUCCAAGAUAAAAAACAAAUCUCAAUGACCU